rnacentral:rRNA from 1 species
GGGAGGGUUGUUCGGGAUUCUGGGCGUAAGCGCGCGUAGGCGGUUUUCCAAGUCGGGCGUGAAAGCCCCGGGCUCAACCCGGGAAAUGCGCUCGAAACUUGUAGACUGGAGGCCGGAAGAGGGUAGUGGAAUUCCCAGUGUAGAGGUGAAAUUCGUAGAUAUUGGGAAGAACACCGGUGGCGAAGGCGGCUACCUGGUCCGGAUCUGACGCUGAGGCGCGAAAGCGUGGGGAGCAAACAGGAUUAGAUACCCUGGUAGUCCACGCUAUAAACUAUGGACACUAGGUAUAGGGAGUAUCGACCCUCUCUGUGCCGUAGCUAACGCGUUAAGUGUCCCGUCUGGGGAGUACGGCCGCAAGGCUAAAACUCAAAGGAAUUGGCGGGGGUCCGCACAAGCAGCGGAGGGUGUGGUUUAAUUCGAUGCAAAACGAAGAACCUUACCAAGGCUUGACAUGACGGAAGUAAUGAACCGAAAGGGGAAUGACCUGUUAAGUCAGGAGCCGCCACAGGUGCUGCAUGGCUGUCGUCAGCUCGUGCCGUGAGGUGUUUGGUUAAGUCCUGCAACGAGCGCAACCCUCAUUGCCAGUUAUAUUCUCUGGCGAGACUGCCUCGCAAAACGGGGAGGAAGGUGGGGAUGACGUCAAGUCAGCACGGCCUUUAUGCCUUGGGCUACACACACCCUACAAUGGGUGGUACAAUGGGUUGCAAGAGAGUGAUCUGGAGCAAAUCCUAAAAGCCAUCCUCAGUUCAGAUUGCAGGCUGAAACCUGCCUGCAUGAAGCCGGAGUUGCUAGUAACCGCAGGUCAGAAUACUGCGGUGAAUACGUUCUCGGGCCUUGUACACACCGCCCGUCACGUCAUGAAAAUCGGCAACACCUGAAGUCGAUGGGCUAACCCGCAAGGGGGGCAGUCGCCGACGUGGGGCUGGUGAUUGGGACGAAGUCUUACAAGGUAACC